GCCGAAAUAGCUCAGUUGGGAGAGCGUUGAGCUGAAAGAUCCUAAGCAUAUCCUGGUUCAAUCCGGGUUUCGGCA